AUGGAAUAUUUGGGAGAUGGCGAAGGGACGAACGGAAACCGGGGCUUGGCCGUGAGCACAGCUGGGGGUGACGACGCGUUUGCAGGAGCCGUUGUUGCUGCAGUCGAGGAUGCCCAACGCGAGAGCAUUGCACUGGUCCACUACAUCGGUCGGGAGUACGUUGAUCGGCCCAACAACUUGGUGCCUCUUACUUUGAAGCAAGUUUCCAUGCUAACUCCUUCAGCCAGGCAUGGGGGGGCACUAUCGAUACAUGGGAUGCCUGUCAACACGGUAUGCACGAGGGUGCACACAUGUUUGUUUUGCUGUUUUUGGCUGUUUUCCCCAUACAUUUUCUUCAGUAAAAACCCCUCCACCCAUUCCAUUUGUCUGCAGGCACGACUGCUUGGUAGGGUGUGGAACCGUACGGAAUCGUCGGAAGAGAUCAGCUUCGUUCUAGGCGAUGGCACUGGGUCUAUCGAAGCCAAGAUAUGGACAAUAGACGGGGAGUACAUGCGGGCGUUACGUGAAGUUAGGAAUGGAGACUACGUUGUGGUUAACGGCUCUAUAAGGACGCGGGAUUCUGUCAUGCAUAUACGAGCCUACUCAAUCAGGCUUGUGACUAACUACAACGAGAUUACUAACCACUUCCUCCAUUGCAUAUACGUCUCCCUCGAUCUUCAGAAGCAGUUGAGGGAGAGAGAAAUGGAUAUUCGUCGGGCGAAUCUGGUGGUAGCCUCAAACGAGCAGUCUCAGGCUCCCAACGGCGCGGAGAAGCUUUUUGGUGAUGUUCUUCAAGUUUUCUACCGUCCAGGAAUAGUCGAGCUGGAAAAUGGGGCUUCGUUCUCUUUGAUUCAAUCUGAGACAGGUGCAGAUGCGGACCAACUCAGGACUGUUAUCGGAGCUCACGUCGCUAUGGGCAACCUUUUCACCACCAUUGAUGAUGACCAUUUCAAGUGCUCGUUCAACGGAUAA
rnacentral:rRNA from 1 species